CAAGACUUAGGGAAUAAUUUCCUAUAUCGGGCUUUGAAGGCCCACAGUUUUUUUAACUUAAAGUCUU
rnacentral:tRNA from 1 species